GCAAGAGUUCAAUAAAUGUCCUAAACUUUAUUUCUUCUUUUCAAUGCAGGAAACCUGCUUUAAGAACCUCUGAAAAGAACAACACACAGAACACAGUCGGCCAACUAUUGGAUCAAGAUAUCCUUAAAUGACUGGAAGCGGAAAACCUCUGUCAUUGAAGAAGCAGCACUGUGGUUGGGUAGUGACAUAAUCACCUACAACUGAGAGAAAACCCGUAUUUCUGGCUGGAAGAAUCAGGAGAAGAAGACAUGAGGAAACUUCUUUGGAUUAUCCAGUUGAAUUUUCAGAAGAAUGGACGUAAACGUGGAACAGUAUUAGACAAGUACCUCAAACAACUGUAAAGCGAAAUGCAUAUGAGGUCACCCAGUUGGCGCUGUGGAAGCACUCACAACGUUUUCUCACUAAAAGACAUGAAAAAAGUUGGAAACUUUUUCCUGGGGCUGCUUUAAUCACCUCUCUCUUUUUCUUACUGAUAGUGUGUAUGCUUUUACAACUACCAUACUUCUCAAAUUGUUUGCAGACAUUAGUGACUCCUCUGUAUUAUCCAUGUGUUUUCACUGGGUCUAGGUUACUGGAAAUCUGAGAAUACGAAGGCCUAGGAAACUCCUUACUUCCUAUUUAGGUAAAGACUUUCAAUUUAUUCUUCUUAUACUGCUUAAAAGAGGAGCAUUCUAACAUAAAACUAUGAGUCACACCAGCUGCGUGGACUUUAUUUUGUGGUGUUUUUAAAAAAUUUUUUUACUAGUGCCUUCAUUAAGAGCUGCAAGGACAAAUGGCUCUCAGCGGUAGGGCGGGGCUGGCUCUUACCUCUUGGUGAGAGCCAACUAUGCACAUUCCAUCCUCUCUUGACAUUCAACCAUGUCUUAUUGAUAGCAUAAAACUGGCUGUGGCAGAAGAAUUUACACUACUGACGUUGGCAAGUGUUACAGGCCAGGCUUUUCUGUUCCAGAGAGCUGGUUCUUAGCUUUAGUUUCCUCCUAGGCAUCCAACUUGUUCUCCUUGUUUUGUUAGAAACUUGCAUAAGAGCUCUACAAGCUUCCCCAAUGGUUUCAGUGCAAGAGUGUCCGGGAACAUUAUCGUCAAGCUGGGAAUUAGAGUUUAUUUCAAACUGUGUCCUCCUACUUUACAUGAGAAAUGUAUUUCUUCCAGCUUGUGAGAUCCACUGAGAUACCUUCAUCGGUCCAGGCAGCCCCACUUCUCUCUGAGCAAUGGCUGAGAACAGGCUGCUCAGCAGUUCCAGGAUGGGGACCCACAAUGGGGCUGUUGUCCUUGUGAUGUUUGUGCCUAUACACCAUGCUAACCUGCUUUUCUUUAUUGACAUUAUAUUGAAACUGAAGUAAGGACAGGAUUCCAUCCCGAGUGUCUGAGGACACUGAGACAAGGACACACUCCCUGUGAAGUGAAUGGUCAUGCUUAAAAUCCAGCUUGCAGGGUAAAUCUAGUCCCUGUUUCUCUGUCUGGCACAGAAAUAAAAGUGUCUCAUCAAAAUUUUACCUG
rnacentral:lncRNA from 1 species